CCAAUCAAAAAGAAGGUGCACGCUCUCUGAGCAGUGACUCUGGACUCUCCAGCUCCUCCCAGUGGACUGGAGGACAAACCUCUGGGCUCCCAAUCAGCUACAGCUCCGAGGAGCAUCCCCAGCUCCCCAGAGAAAUCCCUGGGCUCAGAAUGGAGGAGGAACAAGCUUCUCCAGGCAUCACGAAACAUGACCCUAAAGCCACUCAAGCUACUUUUGAUCAUUCCAGUCAUUUAAAUGGUGAAACAAUGUUCCUAGAACGAGAGACGGAUAUUAUAGAUGAUGACGAUGACAUCAUCGCUCUGAAUGCUGCUGUUUUAGACUCUAAAGACACACUGUCUUCAAAGGAAAUGUCUGGCUUGUCUUCAGGUGAAUGUCAGAACUCUGUCCAAUCAAAUGAUUGUCAAAGUGAAGCUCCUCCUGCCAUAUUUAGAAAUGUGAAUUCCUCAAACACACUCUCACACACUUCAGUACCUUCUGGAUAUCAGACACAUAUAUGGGUAAAACAGCAACAGUCCACGUCUUACAUGCACACUCCAUCAGACAGACUGGAUCACAGAGAGGAGAUGGAGCUCCAAAAAAGUGCAAGCAAACCUUCAUUACCAGACAGUGGCUUUCCGGAGAUUCAGUCUGAGCCAAACAAGGAUGAUGAGUUUGCGACACUGGCUUUGGAUGUUGAUCAGUCAAUCGAACAGCUCAAUCAGCUGAUCCUGGACCUUGACCCUGACUUUGAACCAAUCACCACACAGGCAAAGUGUCACAUGACCCACUCGGCCUCCCUUGAGACCAAUGGAAAGAUGCAUUUGGUUGGAAGGGCCAAAUUCCUCCAGUCAGGUUGGAGGAAGAAACAGCUCAGUGAUGUCUCUGAAUACUCUAUGCUGCAAAAGCGAGGUCUAUAUCACAGUGGUGCUGUUGAUAUUGGUGACUUUCCUACAGAGGUUGACAGUCCACUGAGGGUGGGUCUUAAUCAAGUUCUGCCCACACCAACAUUUCCUGUGACACCCCCCACUCCAUAUGUGAAGAGUGGACAUGACACCAUCCCUUCAAGACCUGGUUCUCAAGCCACUAGACACUACAAUAGCUCUCCAAUAUGGCAAGGUAAUCAACUGCCACGGUGGCUACAUCCUUAUGCUACUUUCUUAUAUACUGUAUCUGCAGUAGCAAAAUCAUGUUUAUAUCUACAUGAGAGGACAAGAAUGUGUGUAGAUAUCAGUUUGUGUGUGUCUUUGGUUGAUCUAGUCUGGAAAGUAUCCAGCUGUAUCUCACACAAAUGUGACCUUUAUAAAAGGUCUACUGUAGCAAAGUAUGUCUUGCUGCUGUCACAAAUUCUGUGCUGCUCAAAAUAA
rnacentral:lncRNA from 12 species